AUCAAUUAUAGAGGAAUAUAUGUUUGUUAGCAUCCUCGCAAAUUCAGACUAAUUUAUUAAAGUGACAUAUUUAAUAAAUACGAGAUUUAUUUUACACUUACAUUCAUAAUGUAAAUGAAAAAAAAUUAAAAAAUAUAUGUAGUGGGCCAAAUUUGCCCGGCCCGUUACAAACAAAAAAAUAAUAAAUAACAAAGUCAAAUAAAAUAUAAAAUCCAGACCUUGUAAUAGUCCAAAGUCCAAAACUAUUACAAUAGCCCAAAUAAACCCAGACCCGAUACCCAUUACAAGCCCAAACCCAAAUUAAAUAUAACCCAAAUCAAAGCAAGCCCAAUAAGCCCAUCUCCUUAAUAGCUUUCAGAAAACCCUAGGGCAAAGGGCUCCUUUGCACCGCAACCAGACAGCAGCCCCAGCCUCCAUGCGCCUUCAGUAUCGUACGCGCCAGCUACCUCCGUACGCCGGCGCAUAGCCUCUGUACGCGCUCCAUGCUCACCGUGCCUGCACACCAAACGCAAGAAGACAACAGACGCGAGAAAAUAGUAGAAAAAUUGUAUUUUUUUUAUUAUUUCUUCUCUCGGCUAUAAAGCCUAAAGAGAAUCACCUGUAUUUUUUUUACGCACAAAAAAAACGCAAUAGAAAGCAAUCAAUUAAAAAAAAUAAAGCAAGGUGAUUUUCGAUUCAAAGAUCUCUAAACGCUUUAUUUUCUUUAGUUUUAUUCUGCCGGAUUUUUUAUUCUGAUAUUCGAAAGAAAUAAGAAAAAGGAGAGGGCUUACCUUCGCGUACGAGCCAUCGGAGUCUUCAUCUCCUUCGUUGAUAUCGAAGUUGAAGAUAGGAUUUUGAAGGCAAUAAGACGCCCUUGCGCGCCUUCACCCACUGAUACGGUGGUGGAAUGGUGGUUGAACGGCAGACCGAAUGAGAGUGGGGGGGGGAGAUCUUAAGCCUGUUUGUUUUCUUUUCAAAUGCCCAAGUAUCAGCUUAGGGUUUCCUUAAAUUUUGGUUUUUAUAAAUGAAGGAAACGACGUCGUUUUAGUCCAAUUCCUAUGGCUUCAAAACGGCGCCGUUUAGACCACGCCCAAUUGGAUCCGACCUGAAUACCCUCAGGACCCGCGUGUUUUUAUGGUGAAGGGUUAUUUUCGUGUUUAGUCCUCCCUUUUUGCGCGGUCGUUCAAUCGCAUAUUAUUUUGUUUUAUUUGUUUUUAAAUUUGGCCUGGUAAUUUACGCGUGUUCGCACUUUG
rnacentral:lncRNA from 1 species